GAAGCUUCAGACGUUCCCGGCACGGGCCGGGCCGCCAAAUGCCGCAGUCUGGCUGGGCACCAAUCACGAGCCACUGAAGCAGGAACAAACUUUAUUUUUGAACUGCAGGAAAACACUUCACACAGCUCCCGGGGAAUCCUCCCGAAUGCCACGCGGCUCGUCCAGGAACCCCCAGCCGGAAAUAUCUCUCCCGGAAAUCCCUCCUCCUGCACUUCCCCAACCAAUGGGAACUCUCAGGGAAUCCCCGGAAAUCCCCACGAGAACUCAAAAGUUGCGGCAGAGGCGGAUAGUAAUGCCUCGCCUGUCAAUCAAUACUGUUGGCAAAAUGCCAGGGGCCAUACAGACUCGGCCAUGGCUCUCAGCAGUAGAGCACUUGCCUAGUAUGAUUCCACCAUGAAUUUUGAAACCUCCAUAAAACUCCAAGAGGACAGGAUUCAGAGAUCUUCCAGGUUGGUGAACAUAUCAGUGCUUAGAGAGGGCAUAGAAGCUCCACUCCCCACUUAUGUGGCUGUUUACCUUAUCCAUUUCUUCCACUUGGCUAUUCCUGAGUUAUAGUCUUCAUAAUAGACUUCAUAAUAGCAAAUAAAAUGUUUCCCUGAUUACCAUGAGCCAUUCUAGCAAAUUAUCAAACCUGAAGAGGAAAUAAUGGGAACACCUAAGUUAUAGCUGGUUGAUCAGAAGUAUAGAUAGCAAUCAGGACUUGAGCUGGCAUCAGAAAUGGGAGAGCAGUUUUGAGGUUUGAGUCUUUAAUUCGUAGAAUAUGCUGCUGAAUCCAGACAGAUUGGGUCAGAAGUCAAUUGAAUUAUUUGAUAACCUGUUGGUAUAUGAAGAGUUCAAGAAUUGGUUAGUGUGAGGGAAAAAAACCCACAUUUUUGGUUUCAGAAAUAAUGUAAGUAAAAGUAACAUGGAGGCUGCCAUAACAAUAGAUCACUGACUGGGUGGUUUAAAUGACAAAAACUUAUUUUCUCAUCAUUCUAGAGGUUAGAAGGUCAAGAUCAGUUAGCUUUCUGGUGAGGCCUUUCUUCCUGGUUUGUAGACAGCUGAUUUCUUGCUAUAUUUUCUCAUGAAAUGUCUUAAGUGUAGAGAGACAGAGAUACAGAUAGACAAACUGAGAGAGGUCUGAUGUCUUGUCCUCUUCUUAUAAGGACAUCAAUUCUAUUGAAUUGGGAAGGCCUUAUACAGUCACAUUGGGGGUUAGGGCUUCAACAUAAGAACUUGAUGAGGAUUAAAUUUAAUCUAUAACUCACAGGGAGGGCCUCAGAAGAAGGGGCAUUUUCAUUGAGACCUAAAGAAUCUAUAGGAGCUUAUUAUGGGAUGAGCCAGAUAAAGGUCACUUUACAGAGAAGAAAUAUGUGUAGAGGUGUAAAGUGCAUUUGUUAUAUUGUUUGAGAAUAGUAAAUUAUGCUACAGGUGAAAAUUAAAAAAACAAAGUAGAUGAAACUCAAAUGUAUUAAGUAAUUAGUGGAUGGAGCAUAUGUAUGUUAAAUGUAGGUGGAAAUAAAAGGAUUAACAUUAAUAUUAAUGCAAUUAAUAUUAAUGAGGCAUAAAUAUACACAAAACACCUAGGCACUAAGUAUUCAUAAUAAAUUAAACGUAUACCAAACAGUUAAUGUCCAGGAUAGACUGACUAUAUGUGAGUGUUUAAUAUUUAUAAAGUUAAACAUUUUUUUUAGUUGUUGAUAGACCUUUAUUUUAUUUAUUUAUAUGUGGUGCUGAGAACCAAACCCAGUGCCUCACACAUGCCAGGCAAGUGUGCUACCCUGAGCCCAAGCCCCAGCCCCUAUUUAUAAGGUUUUAACCAUUCAUUGGUAAUAACUAUUCUGGUUCAUGUGUCUUCUGACCAAAACAUGUAAACUUAUGGCCCAAAUAAAACCCAUAUUUGUAGAGUUGGGGAUGUAGUUCAGUAGUUUAGUGCUUUUCUAGCAUGUGUGAGGCCCUGUGUUCAACCAGCACCACAAAAACAAACAAAAGCCAUGUUUUGUUCAACACGUCCAUUUGCGAGUUGACCUAGAAGUCAUGUGUACUUGUCUCUCCUGAGUCCUUCUGGUAGAACAAAUGUCCAUACAUGACCCCAGGCAAACUUCUCACUGUGACCCCUUUCUUUGAACCUCACUCUGGCCCAUCAGCUGAGAAGACUGAUGCAACACAGAAAUUCUAAUAUUUCCACCUUCCUUGUAUACUUUCAUCAUAAUAUUUGAAAUUAUCCCAUUUCUUUCCCC
rnacentral:lncRNA from 1 species